rnacentral:rRNA from 1 species
AUGCGGAUGAGCUGCAACGGGUGCAGGGUGCUCCGCAAUGGGUGCAGCGACGGUUGCACCAUCCGGCCCUGCCUGGAGUGGAUCCGGAGCGCCGACGCGCAGGCCAACGCCACCGUCUUCCUUGCCAAGUUCUACGGCCGCGCCGGCCUGCUCAACCUUCUCGCCGCCGCCGGCCCCGACGACGCCGGCGUCCGCCCCGCGCUCUUCCGCUCGCUGCUCUACGAGGCGUGCGGCCGGAUGGUCAACCGUGUCUACGGCUCCGUCGGCCUGCUCUGGUCCGGCCAGCGGGGGCCUGCCAGGCCGCCGUCGAGGGCCUUAGUCGAGGCCGUGCUCAAGGGCUGCCCCGUCGUCCGGGUCACGUCCGACGCGCCCCUCACGGCGUGCGACAUCCGCCACGUCGCCAAGGUUGGGCCUGCUGCGUCUCCGGAGGCCGCUGCGGCCGGCACGCUCCUCGGCGUCUCGCGCACCCGGGCGCACCACGUUCAAGCGCGCGUCUCCCGUUUGAGUUUGUGGAUUCAAUCCAAAAAUGAGAAACAGUUUGAAUUGGAUUGGGUUGAAAAAAUCUGCAGUUUGGUUUGGUUUGGGUUCUAG